ACCGUUCGGAGGUAGCUCGGAAAAAGGAAGCCCGCAAACCGGAAGUAGCAGCAGUUGUAUAAGUGACAGCAGCAGCAGCAGCAACUUGGAUCAGUGUGGAGUGUGAGGUCCCCAGCAAGAGAGUUCGGGGUGUGGGUGGUUCAUUUGGAUUGGAUUGGUGCAACCGGAACUGGGACAGCGUGGGAUGAGUUUGAAGGAUACGCGCCGCGCGAGGAAUGUUUCGAUGGAAGAAUGGGGUGAAAGUGAAUUUCACUGAGUGAUACAGAUAGUGGCUUCCGGGUGGAUUUCAAUACGAAUUCCAUUGACCGAAGUGCGCGCGGGCCAGUGAUCGGCGACGCGAAAUAGCUUGCUGCAAAUAUUUAGGAAUAUUAUACGAAUGGGCGUGCAAGGGUUGUUCAACUGACUUUCCGGGAAUAGGUUUUGGGCCGAUUGCCUAAGAGAACGGAAUUCCGUGCUGGCAUAGAUAUUAGAGUUUGUGUUUUAUCAUUAUUGUUUCUUUUGAUUAUUGGGAAAUGAGGUUUCUUAUGCCACAGUUUCUUUGAUGAUGGAGGACGAAAUAAUUGCGUGUAGUCUGAGCAGUAGUAGCAACAGCAGUACAAACGGUGAUAGUGAUAAAUGCUCCGAUGCUAGUAGCAGCACCAGCGAAAAGGAUAACGAAAGUGAAAACGACAAGGAUAUUAACGACAGGAGUCGUCCACGUGGCUCGACGGCGAAGUUGGCGUCCGGCGGUGUGGCAAAUGCCGAUAGGACAAAUGGGGCAAAAAGCAAAUCUGGAACCAAUAGUAGCAGUAGCAGUAGUGGCAACGAGGAUGAAAAAGAGGUCAAAGUGACGACUUCGAAGCACAUCGAAGGAAAUGUAGGUCCAUUAACGGCUACGGUUAAAUUCAUCAAUCCGUUCAAAAAUAACUGGAUCAACGCGGACCGGCUAAACGAACUCCGGAAGAAGGUGUCCGAUGCCGCGAAACACCACCGGGUAUUUUUGGUGCGCGGCUCAUUUCACACGGUACGCCGAGCCUUGGUCGAACGAGGUUGGGUGGAAAAGCUUGACGGAUUUCGGGCAAAACCCCAAGCCAACACUUCUUCCUCCGGCUUCAUUAUCGAGGACCUCAUUCAACAGCUCCCGGAACGCAAGCCUGGUGAGUCGCGAAAGAACCAUAUCGUUAAGUGCGAACGCAGCAUUAUGUCCCGUUUCCUGGAACACACUCCGAUCGAUCUUCUCUGGACGGCCCGUCGAGAGAAAGCCGAUUGGAUUGACAUGACCAAGAAUGCCUCGCUCAUAAUCAAUCGAUUCAACAAGGCCCCUUUCACCACCAAGGAAGGUCUGUGUUCCGCCCUCCACGAUUUCCACUGGUUCUACGAGGAAGGUAUGUCCGAAACGUACUUCCCUCGGUGCUACAACGUGUGGAAUCCGGAGGAGCUCAACGAAUUCGUCGAAAAUUUUCGUCUAACUGCGUCCAUGGGUCUGCUGAAGUGGCUUAUCGAGACCCACGCCAAAAACGGAAUGGAAGCUAUUCUUUCGGACGACGGGAAGGUUCCGGGAUCCUGUAUCAACUUUGCCGUUAGUCGCUGCAAAGAAUAUCUCGACUAUUGCCUUCACAAUGACAUCGACAUCGAGGACGACAUGAAGAUCUGGGAUCACGAUUGGGAUGUGUUCCUCACUCAUCACUAUCUGUUGACGCACGAAAGCGCAAGGAUUCAGCUGACAAAAGAUGGAGAUGUGGCAAAAGUCAUUGAAGAUCACCUCAAGAGUGCCGUAUCCUUACUGGAACAGAUUAAAAACCACUGGCCUCAGUAUGCCCUAGAUGGGUUCCUCAAUAUAUGGAUAGUGAAGCCGGGCAAUAAAUGUCGAGGUCGAGGUAUUCAUUUGAUGAACAAUAUCAAACAGAUCAUUACCAUGGUCAAUCCACCGAUUGUGAGCAAAACGAGAUACGUGAUACAGAAGUAUAUCGAAAGACCCCUCAUAAUUCACAACACCAAGUUUGACAUCCGGCAAUGGUUCAUGAUAACCAGCGUUCAACCGCUGAUCAUUUGGUUCUACAAAGAAAGCUACCUCCGCUUCAGUUCGCAACAGUACAAUCUGAUGAAUUACCACGAAUCGGUUCAUCUGACAAAUCACGCGAUCCAGAAAAAGUACCACAACGCGGUCCGGGACGAACGAUUGCCACACGAAAACAUGUGGGACUGCCACACGUUUCAAGCCUAUCUGAGGCAGAUUGGCAAAUACGAAAUGUGGUCCGACAGGAUUUAUCCGGGUAUGCAGAAAGCAAUAAUCGGUACAUUGUUGGCCUGUCAGGAAAACAUGGAUAGGAGGCCAAACACCUUUGAGUUGUAUGGGGCGGAUUUCAUGAUCACUGAGGACUUCUUCCCAUGGUUGAUUGAGAUCAACUCUAGCCCGGAUCUUGCUCCGAGUACGAGCGUAACGGCAAGGCUGUGCCCACAAUGUGUUGAAGAUACGAUUCGAGUUGUGAUAGAUCGUCGUCACGAUCCGAAUGCGGCAACCGGUUCAUUUGAACUUAUCUACAAACAAGUCAUUCCCAAAACUCCUGCUUACAUGGGUCUGAACCUUCAACUUCGAGGUCAUCGUAUAACCCCGAAGGUACCGGUGAAGAAAGAUCGUAUUCGAAUACUGCCCGUUAAGCCGGUUCAACAAGUUCUGCAGGUAUCGCGUAUGACAGCAUCUGCUGUUCCAAAACCUACCACAGGACCCGUCAUCAUGGAUCUCCUCGAAUGUCUCCAGUUCGAUACCAAAUCACAUCUGGAGGAUGAAGAUGGACGAGCUAGAACAUCAAUGUACCGGAAAGCUAUGUUUUCACCCCGACCAAAUCUGCGAUAUGAUUUUGCCAAGAAAAAAUCCUACAUUUUUGCCAAAACUGGGGAUUUGUUUCGACGUAAUGGUGGUCCCAGAUACUUGACAGAAAACGAAACUUAUAUUGAUAAUAUUGAAGACUGGGAACGAGCUACGACCAGCUUUUUCCAGCACAACUACGCCAACACCUUGAAAUCACUAGCUGUUGGUCGACCUAGCAAUACGCCAACGGGUAAUACUGCCGACAUGCAACAACACACGGGUGCAUCCUCUUCAACGUCGAAUCCUAGUUUAAGAUGCUGCCCGAUCAAAGCUACUCUCUACAAUCCCAACGGAUAUUGUGAUGAAGCAUUAGAUAGCGACCAAAUCACUGCCACAAAUAACGAAAACAAUGCCACCAACAACUUUAAUAGAUAUAUCAAAUUAACCCCAAAUACCAACAAGGUUGCGCUAACGUCGUCCCUGAACAAUUUCUACACCCUUGGGCUGUGUCGGAGUCCGAAGAACGGCACACCCGGAAGCAGAAGUCCGAGGACAACCACCCGAGCAGGCCCCAAUUUAGCACAAUCAACCGAAGACUUAGUUCAGUUAGGAAAUAAUAGUUAACCCGCCCCCAUUAUCGUACACGUGAUCGUUGGUGAUGAGUCCGUAUCAUGCCUCGUAGUGCUUCUAAAUUACCGUUGUUGUCUAAAUCGUAACUCGUUACAUCGUAAGAAUAGUAAACCAAAUCAUAGUGAAAUAGUACUAAGCAAAUGCAUCUGAAAGUUAAA